rnacentral:rRNA from 1 species
AGUGAACGCUGGCGGUAGGCCUAACACAUGCAAGUCGAACGGCAGCACAGUAAGAGCUUGCUCUUACGGGUGGCGAGUGGCGGACGGGUGAGGAAUACAUCGGAAUCUACUUUUUCGUGGGGGAUAACGUAGGGAAACUUACGCUAAUACCGCAUACGACCUACGGGUGAAAGCAGGGGAUCUUCGGACCUUGCGCGAUUGAAUGAGCCGAUGUCGGAUUAGCCAGUUGGCGGGGUAAAGGCCCACCAAGGCGACGAUCCGUAGCUGGUCUGAGAGGAUGAUCAGCCACACUGGAACUGAGACACGGUCCAGGCUCCUACGGGAGGCAGCAGUGGGGAAUAUUGGACAAUGGGCGCAAGCCUGAUCCAGCCAUACCGCGUGGGUGAAGAAGGCCUUCGGGUUGUAAAGCCCUUUUGUUGGGAAAGAAAAGCAGCAGGUUAAUACCCCGCUGUUCUGACGGUACCCAAAGAAUAAGCACCGGCUAACUUCGUG